rnacentral:rRNA from 1 species
AUACGGAGGAUGCGAGCGUUAUCCGGAUUUAUUGGGUUUAAAGGGAGCGUAGGUGGGAUAUUAAGUCAGCUGUGAAAGUUUGGGGCUCAACCUUAAAAUUGCAGUUGAUACUGGUUUCCUUGAGUACGGUACAGGUGGGCGGAAUUCGUGGUGUAGCGGGGAAAUGCUUAGAUAUCACGAAGAACUCCGAUCGUGAAGGCAGCUCACCGGGCCGGAACUGACACUGAUGCUCGAAAGUGCGGGUAUCAAACAGGAUUAGAUACCCUGGUAGUCCGCACAGUAAACGAUGAAUACUCGCUGUUUGCGAUACACAGUAAGCGGCCAAGCGAAAGCGUUAAGUAUUCCACCUGGGGAGUACGCCGGCAACGGUGAAACUCAAAUGAAUUGACGGGG